ACUAAGCGUACACGGUGGAUGCCCUGGCAGUCAGAGGCGAUGAAGGACGUGCUAAUCUGCGAUAAGCGUCGGUGAGGUGAUAUGAACCGUUAUAACCGGCGAUUUCCGAAUGGGGAAACCCAGUGUGUUUCGACACACUAUCAUUAACUGAAUCCAUAGGUUAAUGAGGCGAACCGGGGGAACUGAAACAUCUAAGUACCCCGAGGAAAAGAAAUCAACCGAGAUUCCCCCAGUAGCGGCGAGCGAACGGGGAGGAGCCCAGAGCCUGAAUCAGUGUGUGUGUUAGUGGAAGCGUCUGGAAAGGCGUGCGAUACAGGGUGACAGCCCCGUACACAAAAAUGCACAUAUUGUGAGCUCGAUGAGUAGGGCGGGACACGUGGUAUCCUGUCUGAAUAUGGGGGGACCAUCCUCCAAGGCUAAAUACUCCUGACUGACCGAUAGUGAACCAGUACCGUGAGGGAAAGGCGAAAAGAACCCCGGCGAGGGGAGUGAAAAAGAACCUGAAACCGUGUACGUACAAGCAGUGGGAGCCUCUUAAUGGGGUGACUGCGUACCUUUUGUAUAAUGGGUCAGCGACUUAUAUUCUGUAGCAAGGUUAACCGAAUAGGGGAGCCGAAGGGAAACCGAGUCUUAACUGGGCGUUAAGUUGCAGGGUAUAGACCCGAAACCCGGUGAUCUAGCCAUGGGCAGGUUGAAGGUUGGGUAACACUAACUGGAGGACCGAACCGACUAAUGUUGAAAAAUUAGCGGAUGACUUGUGGCUGGGGGUGAAAGGCCAAUCAAACCGGGAGAUAGCUGGUUCUCCCCGAAAGCUAUUUAGGUAGCGCCUCGUGAAUUCAUCUCCGGGGGUAGAGCACUGUUUCGGCAAGGGGGUCAUCCCGACUUACCAACCCGAUGCAAACUGCGAAUACCGGAGAAUGUUAUCACGGGAGACACACGGCGGGUGCUAACGUCCGUCGUGAAGAGGGAAACAACCCAGACCGCCAGCUAAGGUCCCAAAGUCAUGGUUAAGUGGGAAACGAUGUGGGAAGGCCCAGACAGCCAGGAUGUUGGCUUAGAAGCAGCCAUCAUUUAAAGAAAGCGUAAUAGCUCACUGGUCGAGUCGGCCUGCGCGGAAGAUGUAACGGGGCUAAACCAUGCACCGAAGCUGCGGCAGCGACACUAUGUGUUGUUGGGUAGGGGAGCGUUCUGUAAGCCUGUGAAGGUGGCCUGUGAGGGUUGCUGGAGGUAUCAGAAGUGCGAAUGCUGACAUAAGUAACGAUAAAGCGGGUGAAAAGCCCGCUCGCCGGAAGACCAAGGGUUCCUGUCCAACGUUAAUCGGGGCAGGGUGAGUCGACCCCUAAGGCGAGGCCGAAAGGCGUAGUCGAUGGGAAACAGGUUAAUAUUCCUGUACUUGGUGUUACUGCGAAGGGGGGACGGAGAAGGCUAUGUUGGCCGGGCGACGGUUGUCCCGGUUUAAGCGUGUAGGCUGGUUUUCCAGGCAAAUCCGGAAAACCAAGGCUGAGGCGUGAUGACGAGGCACUACGGUGCUGAAGYGACAAAUGCCCUGCUUCCAGGAAAAGCCUCUAAGCAUCAGGUAACAUCAAAUCGUACCCAAAACCGACACAGGUGGUCAGGUAGAGAAUACCAAGGCGCUUGAGAGAACUCGGGUGAAGGAACUAGGCAAAAUGGUGCCGUAACUUCGGGAGAAGGCACGCUGAUAUGUAGGUGAAGCGACUUGCUCGUGGAGCUGAAAUCAGUCGAAGAUACCAGCUGGCUGCAACUGUUUAUUAAAAACACAGCACUGUGCAAACACGAAAGUGGACGUAUACGGUGUGACGCCUGCCCGGUGCCGGAAGGUUAAUUGAUGGGGUUAGCGGUAACGCGAAGCUCUUGAUCGAAGCCCCGGUAAACGGCGGCCGUAACUAUAACGGUCCUAAGGUAGCGAAAUUCCUUGUCGGGUAAGUUCCGACCUGCACGAAUGGCGUAAUGAUGGCCAGGCUGUCUCCACCCGAGACUCAGUGAAAUUGAACUCGCUGUGAAGAUGCAGUGUACCCGCGGCAAGACGGAAAGACCCCGUGAACCUUUACUAUAGCUUGACACUGAACAUUGAGCCUUGAUGUGUAGGAUAGGUGGGAGGCUUUGAAGUGUGGACGCCAGUCUGCAUGGAGCCGACCUUGAAAUACCACCCUUUAAUGUUUGAUGUUCUAACGUUGGCCCGUAAUCCGGGUUGCGGACAGUGUCUGGUGGGUAGUUUGACUGGGGCGGUCUCCUCCUAAAGAGUAACGGAGGAGCACGAAGGUUGGCUAAUCCUGGUCGGACAUCAGGAGGUUAGUGCAAUGGCAUAAGCCAGCUUGACUGCGAGCGUGACGGCGCGAGCAGGUGCGAAAGCAGGUCAUAGUGAUCCGGUGGUUCUGAAUGGAAGGGCCAUCGCUCAACGGAUAAAAGGUACUCCGGGGAUAACAGGCUGAUACCGCCCAAGAGUUCAUAUCGACGGCGGUGUUUGGCACCUCGAUGUCGGCUCAUCACAUCCUGGGGCUGAAGUAGGUCCCAAGGGUAUGGCUGUUCGCCAUUUAAAGUGGUACGCGAGCUGGGUUUAGAACGUCGUGAGACAGUUCGGUCCCUAUCUGCCGUGGGCGCUGGAGAACUGAGGGGGGCUGCUCCUAGUACGAGAGGACCGGAGUGGACGCAUCACUGGUGUUCGGGUUGUCAUGCCAAUGGCACUGCCCGGUAGCUAAAUGCGGAAGAGAUAAGUGCUGAAAGCAUCUAAGCACGAAACUUGCCCCGAGAUGAGUUCUAACAGAAUUUGCCUGGCGGCCUUAGCGCGGUGGUCCCACCUGACCCCAUGCCGAACUCAGAAGUGAAACGCCGUAGCGCCGAUGGUAGUGUGGGGUCUCCCCAUGCGAGAGUAGGGAACUG
rnacentral:rRNA from 1 species